GACCGAGUAAGCUAACCAACAAGCUAUUGGGCUCAUAACCCAAAAAUGAUAAAUUCCUCUGUUA
rnacentral:tRNA from 1 species